rnacentral:rRNA from 1 species
CCAAAUGAUAGGAAUGCUUAGUGGCGGACUGGUGAGUAACGCGUGAGGAACCUGCCUCUCAGAGGGGGACAACAGUUGGAAACGACUGCUAAUACCGCAUGACACAUCGGAAGGGCGUCCUUCUGAUGUCAAAGAUUUUAUCGCUGAGAGAUGGCCUCGCGUCCAAUUAGCUAGUUGGUGAGGUAACGGCCCACCAAGGCGACGAUUGGUAGCCGGACUGAGAGGUUGAACGGCCACAUUGGGACUGAGACACGGCCCAGACUCC